UACGAGGGGGGCGAGCGUUGUUCGGAAUUAUUGGGCGUAAAGGGCGCGUAGGCGGUGCGGUAAGUCACCUGUGAAACCUCUGGGCUCAACUCAGAGCCUGCAGGCGAAACUGCCGUGCUGGAGUGUGGGAGAGGUGCGUGGAAUUCCCGGUGUGGCGGUGAAAUGCGUAGAUAUCGGGAGGAACACCUGUGGCGAAAGCGGCGCACUGGACCACAACUGACGCUGAGGCGCGAAAGCUAGGGGAGCAAACAGG
rnacentral:rRNA from 1 species